rnacentral:rRNA from 1 species
CAUGGGGAACGUUCACAGACUAAGCGGAAGUGGGUAGGGCGCCAGUCGCCCUGCUUAAGAUGUAGUCGGGCCUCGGGGGAAACCUCAAGGGCGGUGAUCACAGAUUGCAAAAGGGGAACAUUGGGGAGGAGAAGGUGCAAUGGUACUAUGCUAUGCUAUCUCUUGUGCUAGGCGCCAAUAUGCCACUCUCAGUGCGCAUCGCGCGCCUGUGUGCAGAACUUGGCAAGGCGCAUUGCUAUCCUCAACCCAACGCUUCCUCUCUUGCCCUCUGUGGUCGCGAAGCAAGACCGUUCCGUAGGUGAACCUGCGGAAGGAUCAUUA